rnacentral:lncRNA from 1 species
CACUGAAUAUGGUGAGCUGCUCUGGUGUAUUUUCUGAUGCUGGUUACAGAAAUAUCAAGAGUUACAAUAUUUCCCAAUAUUUUCUUUUUCCCAGACAAAACAUCAGCGUGCUGAGCUCAGUUAUCUAGUUGACAGACCCCGACGAGUAAACAGUUCUGCAUUCCAGGAAGCAGACAUAGUAAGCUCUAAGGACAGUGGUCAUGGAGACAGUGAGCAAGGAGACAGUGAUCAUGAUGCCACUAAUCGAGGUCAAUCCUCUGGCAUGGAUCUCUUCUCCAAUUGCACGGAGGAAUGUAAAGCACUGGGCCAUUCAGAUCGGUGCUGGAUGCCUUCCUUUGUUCCAUCUGAUGGACGCCAAGCUGCAGAUUACCGCAGCAAUCUGCACGUACCUGGCAUGGACUCCGUUCCAGACACUGAAGUGUUUGAAACACCAGAAGCCCAGCCGGGGGCAGAAAGGUCCUUCUCCACCUUCGGCAAAGAGAAGGCCCUUCACAACACUCUGGAGAGGAAGGAGUUGGACGGACUGCUGUCUAAUACACGAGCGCCUUACAAACCACCAUAUUUGA